GACGAACGCUGGCGGCGUGCUUAACACAUGCAAGUCGAACGGACAGACCAGGAGCUUGUUCGGUGCUCGUUAGCGGAACGGGGGAGAAACACGUGAGUAACCCCCCCUUGUCUGUCGGGUAACAUCAGGAGACAGCGGCGCAUACCCGAUAGGAGCUCCUGCUCCAUGUUGUUCGUUGGAAAAUUUCGGCUUUUGUGGAUGGACUCGCGGCGUAUUAGCUUGUUGGUAGGGUAACUGCUUACCAAGGCUUUGACGGGUAGCCGACCUGAGAGGGUGAUCGGCCACACUGGAACUGAGACACGGUCCAGACUCCUACGGGAGGCAGCAGUAGGGAAUCGUCCGCAAUGGGCGAAAGCCUGACGGAGCAACGCCGCGUGAGUGAUGAAGGUCUUCGGAUCGUAAAACUCUGUUAUUAGGGAAGAACAAAUGUGUAAGUAACUAUGCACGUCUUGACGGUACCUAAUCAGAAAGCCACGGCUAACUACGUG
rnacentral:rRNA from 1 species